GAUGAACGCUGGCGGCGUGCCUAAUACAUGCAAGUCGAGCGAACGGACGAGAAGCUUGCUUCUCUGAUGUUAGCGGCGGACGGGUGAGUAACACGUGGAUAACCUACCUAUAAGACUGGGAUAACUUCGGGAAACCGUAGCUAAUACCGGAUAAUAUUUUGAACCGCAUGGUUCAAACGUGAAAGACGGUCUUGCUGUCACUUAUAGAUGGAUCCACGCUGCAUUAGCUAGUUGGUAAGGUAACGGCUUACCAAGGCAACGAUGCAUAGCCGACCUGAGAGGGUGAUCGGCCACACUGGAACUGAGACACGGUCCAGACUCCUACGGGAGGCAGCAGUAGGGAAUCUUCCGCAAUGGGCGAAAGCCUGACGGAGCAACGCCGCGUGAGUGAUGAAGGUCUUCGGAUCGUAAAACUCUGUUAUUAGGGAAGAACAUAUGUGUAAGUAACUGUGCACAUCUUGACGGUACCUAAUCAGAAAGCCACGGCUAACUACGUG
rnacentral:rRNA from 1 species